rnacentral:rRNA from 1 species
AUGGAGUGGUGGCAACACACGGUGGGCGUCAAUGCCAACGUGAGAAAGGGUCUUGCAUCCCUCGUCAUGUUCGAAUCUUGGGAGGUUUGGAACGAGCGGAACACACGUCUGUUUAGAAAUGUGUCAUCCUUGCCAAAUGUAAUCAUGUCUAAGAUUAAGACCGAGGCCGGGCUAUGGUGGUUGGCGGGGGCUAAACAUCUGGGUUCUUUAAUGCCGCGAGAGUAG